AAGGCCUCACUGGGGAUGAAUGAGUCAUGCAGUGAGGAGACAGAGCCUGUCCAGGCAAGGCAGUGGUGUGGGUGUGUGGCCCGUGUCUUCGGCAGCCCAUAUUCCAGGCCCAUCGGCAGCACUGUGCAGCUGAGGAUACUCUGCUGAGUCACUGCUUAUGACCCUGUAAGCCUACAUAGUUCUGUGCUGUGGCUUUGGCAAAGGGCACUGUGACAUGACCUAGU
rnacentral:lncRNA from 1 species